CGUGGAGAACGCAUUGGAGAGAUUGAAAACUGAUUUGGAGCAUUCGAUUCAGGUAAAAAUCGUGAUUUUAUUUGCAGCAGUAUCCAUUUUCGGAAUGGAUUUUUGAAGAACUUUGACAAGUUAUUUCUUGACCAAUAUAAAUCCGAUUUGGGUGAUUCCAGAGGCUAUCUUGCGUGGAAAUUUAAGGAGAACAUCGUGGAAGUUUCAGAAUCUGUUUUUGGCACGUCGUUCGAGUUUGGCAGCGUUCCGAGGUCGUUCGAAAGGGAAAAGCUCCAGCACAGUGAUUUGAAGCUCGCGUGUUUAGCCUACAGGACCAAGCACCAGCUACUGUCACGAAUAGAUCGAGCUUGUUGCAGUCAGAUUCGGAGACUAGGGUGAUAACUUGGCGUUUUUGGAUCACU